rnacentral:rRNA from 1 species
CUGUCCUACGGGGGGCAGCAGUGGGGAAUAUUGCACAAUGGGGGAAACCCUGAUGCAGCGACGCCGCGUGGGUGACGAAGUAUUUCGGUAUGUAAAGCCCUAUCAGCAGGGAAGAAGAUGACAGUACCUGACUAAGAAGCCCCGGCUAACUACGUGCCAGCAGCCGCGGUAAUACGUAGGGGGCAAGCGUUAUCCGGAUUUACUGGGUGUAAAGGGAGCGUAGGUGGCAUGGCAAGCCAGAAGUGAAAACCCGGGGCUCAACCCCGGCGAGCCGUUGAAACUGGCUGUCUUGAGAUGUCGAGAGG